GUUCAUGGUCAGACCACCCUGAACAUGCCUGGUCUCAGAAGCUAAGCUGGGUUGGGCCCAGUUAAUGUGUUGUUAGGAAAACCAGCCCAUAUCAGGAGGAAGCCCCAAGCC
rnacentral:rRNA from 1 species